rnacentral:rRNA from 1 species
UACGGAGGGGGCGAGCGUUGCUCGGAAUUACUGGGCGUAAAGGGCGCGUAGGCGGCCCGCUAAGUCGGACGUGAAAUCCCCAGGCUCAACCUGGGAACUGCGUCCGAUACUGGCAGGCUUGAAUCCGGGAGAGGGAUGUGGAAUUCCAGGUGUAGCGGUGAAAUGCGUAGAUAUCUGGAGGAACACCGGUGGCGAAGGCGGCACCCUGGACCGGUAUUGACGCUGAGGCGCGAAAGCGAGGGGAGCAAACGGG